GGUCCAGACUCCUACGGGAGGCAGCAGUAGGGAAUCUUCCGCAAUGGGCGAAAGCCUGACGGAGCAACGCCGCGUGAGUGAUGAAGGUCUUCGGAUCGUAAAACUCUGUUAUUAGGGAAGAACAAGUGCGUAGGUAACUAUGCGCACCUUGACGGUACCUAAUCAGAAAGCCACGGCUAACUACGUGCCAGCAGCCGCGGUAAUACGUAGGUGGCAAGCGUUAUCCGGAAUUAUUGGGCGUAAAGCGCGCGUAGGCGGUUUUUUAAGUCUGAUGUGAAAGCCCACGGCUCAACCGUGGAGGGUCAUUGGAAACUGGAAAACUUGAGUGCAGAAGAGGAAAGUGGAAUUCCAUGUGUAGCGGUGAAAUGCGCAGAGAUAUGGAGGAACACCAGUGGCGAAGGCGACUUUCUGGUCUGCAACUGACGCUGAUGUGCGAAAGCGUGGGGAUCAAACAGGAUUAGAUACCCUGGUAGUCCACGCCGUAAACGAUGAGUGCUAAGUGUUAGGGGGUUUCCGCCCCUUAGUGCUGCAGCUAACGCAUUAAGCACUCCGCCUGGGGAGUACGGCCGCAAGGCUGAAACUCAAAGGAAUUGACGGGGACCCGCACAAGCGGUGGAGCAUGUGGUUUAAUUCGAAGCAACGCGAAGAACCUUACCAAAUCUUGACAUCCUUUGACCGCUCUAGAGAUAGAGUCUUCCCCUUCGGGGGACAAAGUGACAGGUGGUGCAUGGUUGUCGUCAGCUCGUGUCGUGAGAUGUUGGGUUAAGUCCCGCAACGAGCGCAACCCUUAAGCUUAGUUGCCAGCAUUAAGUUGGGCACUCUAAGUUGACUGCCGGUGACAAACCGGAGGAAGGUGGGGAUGACGUCAAAUCAUCAUGCCCCUUAUGAUUUGGGCUACACACGUGCUACAAUGGACAGUACAAAGGGCAGCGAAACCGCGAGGUCAAGCAAAUCCCAUAAAGCUGUUCUCAGUUCGGAUUGUAGUCUGCAACUCGACUACAUGAAGCUGGAAUCGCUAGUAAUCGUAGAUCAGCAUGCUACGGUGAAUACGUUCCCGGGUCUUGUACACACCGCCCGUCACACCACGAGAGUUCGUAACACCCGAAGCCGGUGGAGUAACCUUUUAGGAGCUAGCCGUCGAAG
rnacentral:rRNA from 1 species